AUUCCAGCUCCAAUAGCGUAUAUUUAAGUUGUUGCAGUUAAAAAGCUCGUAGUUGGAUUUUGGGUCGGGGGUACCGGUCCGGUGUUUCACUGUGCACUGGUCUCCCCUUCCUUUCCGCCGGGGACGGCGUUUGCUCUUUACUGAGCGGCGUCGGAGUCGGCGUUGUUACUUUGAAAAAAUUAGAGUGUUCAAAGCAAGCCAUCGCUCUGAAUACAUUAGCAUGGAAUAACAUGAUAGGACUCCGGUCUUAUUUUGUUGGUUUCCGAGACUGGAGUAAUGAUUAAGAGGGACAGUCGGGGGCAUCCGUAUUUCAUUGUCAGAGGUGAAAUUCUUGGAUUUAUGAAAGACGAACUUCUGCGAAAGCAUUUGCCAAGGAUGUUUUCAUCA
rnacentral:rRNA from 1 species